UGGAGAGAGGCGGGGGUCCAUCAGAGACAAGGUGUCGGACACUAGGGAGAGACGGGGGUCCAUCACAGAGAAAGUGUCAGACAGUGGAGAGAGGCGGGGGUCCAUUAGAGAGAAGGUGGAGAGUAGAGAGAGGCGGGGGUCUAUCAGAGAGAAGGUGUCAGACAGUGGAGAGAAGCGAGGGUCCAUUAGAGAGAAGGUGGAGAGUAGAGAGAGGCGGGGGUCUAUCAGAGAGAAGGUGUCAGACAGUGGAGAGAAGGGAGGGUCCAUUAGAGAGAAGGUAGAGAGUAGAGAGAGGCGAGGGUCCAUCAGAGAGAAGGUGUCAGACAGUGGAGAGAAGCGAGGGUCCAUCAGAGAGAAGGUGUCAGACAGUGGAGAGAAGCGAGGGUCCAUUAGAGAGAAGGUGUCAGAGAGUAGAGAGAGGCGGGGGUCCAUCAGAGAGAAGGUGUCAGACAGUGGAGAGAGGCGGGGGUCCAUCAGAGAGAAGGCGAAAUUGAGUAGAGAGAAAUUGAGGCCCAGUGGAGAGAAGCUGAGGCCUGGUGAUAAACGUUCAAGAUCCACUGAAGAUAUACUGGAGUCAAAUACUGAGGAAUUGGAGUCUGAUGAGGUAAAACUGGAAGGGCAUUCAAGAACAGGAAGUGCCACAGAAGAGACUAUUGAAAGAGUGAUAAAUAUUAUUGGUAGUGAAAGUGUGAUGGAAAAUAUGAGUCAGGAAAUGCAAAGUCCUUCUGAAAGUGUGCAAGGGAUAGAUGACCACGAAGGCACAGAGAACGGAGUGGAAAUUGAUAGUCAUGUCUUGGAUGGAGAGAGAGAGAUUGCUGAUGAAUCUGUUCCUAAGGAAGAGAAAGACACACUUGGAGAAAGCUCCAAGGAAUCGGGUGGAUGAAAAAUUGAAGGUGAAGAAGGAGAUUGGAGUAUUGAAAGCCAAGGAGAAGCUAGAGCCAAGGACUUUGUUGGUCUUGAAAGGGUGACUAUGAGUGAGGAGUCUGGACCUCAAAGGAGCAUGGGAAAGGAACAGUAAGGGCCACUGGACAUGGAGGGCAAGCCAGCAUCAGUGGACGUGAAGAACAGGAAGGUGGGCAAUGAAAACAUUUUAAGGAGAAAGAAACGAUUUGGGAGCGUAUACUAAGAAGAUAGAAACGGACUGUUUCCUGUUGAAGAACCGUUUGAGAAACGGGUCUAGGGUGGCUGGGUUUUGACAGACAUGUACAUGGUCAGGGGUGUGAGAUGUAGGAGAAGGUCCAAACCAGAUUAGAGCAGGACAGAGGAGGUGAUUGAAGCAGACACCAAAACAGAGGCUCCAGCGGGGAGAAGCAAGGGGAGAGGCUGGAUGGAAUAAAAGACGAAGGACACGACAAUCCACACCCUGCCACAGUGCUUAGGCCCAUGUCCACCUGAGACCAUCAUUUGAAGAUUCCUCUGGUGAGUCUGUGAGCUGAGGUGUUGUCAUCUCUUUAAGAGAGACCUUCCUUGGCAUAAGGCAAGGCUCAGCGUUUGCCCCUGAGUGGGAAAUGACCUACACUUCAGGAAGUAUAGAUUCUGAUGAAUCACCAGAUUUCUGUUCCCUGGCUGGAUCACUUACCUGAAAUAUCAGAUGUAUUCCACCAGACCCCAGACACCAGUGAAGAUCAAGCUACUAUGACAAAUGACAAAUGCUACCUGCCUCGUAAGUACAGUUCCUAAGGCUUCCAGACCAGACCUGCUCGACAGCGUUCUCCUGACACCCUUCUGCUCUUGCACCUGGGCUCUUACACCACGGAGCACCCUUUCCUGAGGCCUUCCUCCGAAUCAAAGGAUAUCCAGAUGUACCAGUGGACAAAGGCCCGCUCCCUCAGAGGAGCCACUUGGUCCAAAGGCAUUUGGAAAACAGAAAAGAGACAACAGAGACGUUUUACAGCCUCUCCAAGUGUCUGGUAUGUGGACUAUUACUCUGUCUCAGAUUUUGCUGCUACUCAAGAAGUUUUGACUUAGCGAAGAAAAAAACCUAGACUCCCAACCUGUUGUUGCCCUUGUCUUAGUACUUGAGAUUUGGACUUGGACUUGGUGUCAAAUCGCCAUCCCAUCUGCUUGCAGAGCAUUAGUAGGGCCCACCCUCAGCCUUGGGCCACACCCAGUCAAGUGUCAUCAGGCCUAGCAGAAAGACUGGAGCCCUGAGAAGGAUGUGAAGCCAGGGCAGGAAGAAAGAGGCAAGGCACUGUUUAGGGGAAGGACAGGAGGAAGAGUCCAUCUUCUGGGCAAAGCAGGAGGAAGGUCUUUAAUGAAACAUCUCAGAGAACAGGGUGGGUCUGCAUAACCACCCCAGAUCCAAGGCACAGAGGAGGUUUGAAAUGUCCAGGAUAAAUAGUACCAGUGGGGUGGAGAAAGAGCCAGCUCCUCCCCUUUUAGUCUUACUAAACAGUCUCACUGUGGGCACCAAAAAUAUAUUAAUAUCUGUACAUUUGUCAUCUUUAAAAAAAAAAAGAAAGAAAAUAAAACCUCCUUGGCACCUUG